GCAGGCCACCAUCAACGUUUACAACAAGAAGAUUGAGCAGCUCGUCGCCAGCACUGGGGUGAGAGUUAACUUACAACCAAGCACUGACCAGUAACCAGCUGAAUAUUUUGGGGUUAUUGUCUAAUAAUAAACGACUAUAGGUGCUGAAUCAAAAAUAAGUGGCACCUACAGAUCUCGAAUGAUAUUCUAUUUUUAUGGUAGCACCAUUCUCUACAAUAAGACUGGAGCUAAAAUGGAUUUGAAACGUUUCAGCUUUGAAAAAUGCAAAUUUUCCUGACUUUCUAUGUUGUCUUGAUCACGUCCCUACGUACGUCAACAGCACGAGGACCUGGGCCUGUUGGAGAUCUAGGCCAGUAUUCUGACCAAGCAGCUGGAGGGGGUGGGAGGAGAGAUCAAGGAGCAGCAGCAGCUCUGGCUGCGGCAGCAGGGGGAACUAGUGAGACUGAGCCAGGAGAAACAGGCCCGGAUCGCCGCCCUGCUCACACUGCAGGCCCAAUUCACCAUCCUACAGCAGAGGAAAGUCUGCACCGAGACAAAGCGGAGGAGUGUGAGGGUCCCUCAAGAGCUGCAGCACGGCCAGGCCAGUCUGAACAGCAGUCUGCGGGACAAACAGCUGCAGCUGGGAGAGCUCCACAGAGCCAGAACUGUCCUCACCUCAGACUUCCACUGUCUGCAGGACACCAAAUAGAGGAACCUGGCCCAUCUGGUCUUCCUCCAGGGCCGGGCCAAGCAGCUCCAAGCGGUGCAUGA
rnacentral:lncRNA from 13 species